rnacentral:rRNA from 1 species
UACGAAGGGGGCUAGCGUUGCUCGGAAUCACUGGGCGUAAAGCGCGCGUAGGCGGAUUGUUAAGUCAGGGGUGAAAUCCUGGAGCUCAACUCCAGAACUGCCUUCGAUACUGGAGAGCUCGAGUCCGGGAGAGGUGAGUGGAACUGCGAGUGUAGAGGUGAAAUUCGUAGAUAUUCGCAAGAACACCAGUGGCGAAGGCGGCUCACUGGCCCGGUACUGACGCUGAGGUGCGAAAGCGUGGGGAGCAAACAGG